rnacentral:tRNA from 1 species
GCGGGUGUGGCGAAAGUGGUAUACGCGUAUGGCUUAGGACCAUAUGCUGAAAAGCAUAGGGGUUCGACUCCCUUCACCCGCA